GACGAACGCUGGCGGCGUGCUUAACACAUGCAAGUCGAACGGUGAAGGGAUCAGCUUGCUGGUUCUGGAUGAGUGGCGAACGGGUGAGUAACACGUGAGUAACCUGCCCCCUUCUUCUGGAUAACCGCAUGAAAGUGUGGCUAAUACGGGAUAUUCUGCGCCUGCUGCAUGGUGGGUGUGGGAAAGAUAUUGUUUCGGUGGGGGAUGGGCUCGCGGCCUAUCAGCUUGUUGGUGGGGUGAUGGCCUACCAAGGCGGUGACGGGUAGCCGGCCUGAGAGGGGGGACGGUCACACUGGGACUGAGACACGGCCCAGACUCCUACGGGAGGCAGCAGUGGGGAAUAUUACACAAUGGGCGCAAGCCUGAUGCAGCGACGCCGCGUGAGGGAUGGAGGCCUUCGGGUUGUGAACCUCUUUCGCCAGUGAAGCAGGCCUGUCCCUUGUGGGUGGGUUGACGGUAGCUGGAUAAGAAGCGCCGGCUAACUACGU
rnacentral:rRNA from 1 species